rnacentral:rRNA from 1 species
CUACGGGAGGCAGCAGUGGGGAAUAUUGCACAAUGGGGGAAACCCUGAUGCAGCCAUGCCGCGUGUGUGAAGAAGGCCUUCGGGUUGUAAAGCACUUUCAGUAGGGAGGAAGGUAGUGUAGUUAACACCUGCAUUAUUUGACGUUACCUACAGAAGAAGCACCGGCUAACUCCGUGCCAGCAGCCGCGGUAAUACGGAGGGUGCGAGCGUUAAUCGGAAUUACUGGGCGUAAAGCGCAUGCAGGCGGCCUGUUAAGUCAGAUGUGAAAGCCCGGGGCUUAACCUCGGAAUUGCAUUUGAAACUGGCAGGCUAGAGUCUUGUAGAGGGGGUAGAAUUUCAGGUGUAGCGGUGAAAUGCGUAGAGAUCUGAAGGAAUACCAGUGGCGAAGGCGGCCCCCUGGACAAAGACUGACGCUCAGAUGCGAAAGCGUGGGGAGCAAACAGGAUUAGAUACCCUGGUAG